UACAGAGGGUGCGAGCGUUGUCCGGAAUCACUGGGCGUAAAGGGCGCGUAGGCGGCCUGAUAAGUAGGGGGUGAAAUCCUGUGGCUUAACUGCAGGGCUACCUCCUAGACUGUUAGGCUCGAGCACGGUAGAGGCAGAUGGAAUUCCCGGUGUAGCGGUGGAAUGCGUAGAGAUCGGGAAGAACAUCGGUGGCGAAGGCGGUCUGCUGGGCCGUUGCUGACGCUGAGGCGCGACAGCGUGGGGAGCAAACAGG
rnacentral:rRNA from 1 species